rnacentral:rRNA from 1 species
UGGUGAGCGGUGAACGGGUGAGUAAGGUAUCGGAACGUACCCAGUCGUGGGGGAUAACUAUCCGAAAGGAUAGCUAAUACCGCAUACGACCUGAGGGUGAAAGCGGGGGACCGUAAGGCCUCGCGCGAUUGGAGCGGCCGAUAUAGGAUUAGCUAGUUGGUGAGGUAAAGGCUCACCAAGGCGACGAUCCGUAGCUGGUCUGAGAGGACGACCAGCCACACUGGAACUGAGACACGGUCCAGACUCCUACGGGAGGCAGCAGUGGGGAAUUUUGGACAAUGGGGGCAACCCUGAUCCAGCCAUUCCGCGUGAGUGAAGAAGGCCUUCGGGUUGUAAAGCUCUUUCAGCAGGAACGAAACGGCUCUCUCUAACAUAGGGAGUUAAUGACGGUACCUGAAGAAGAAGCACCGGCUAACUACGUGCCAGCAGCCGCGGUAAUACGUAGGGUGCGAGCGUUAAUCGGAAUUACUGGGCGUAAAGCGUGCGCAGGCGGCGCCAUAAGACAGAUGUGAAAUCCCCCGGGCUUAACCUGGGAACUGCGUUUGUGACUGUGGUGCUCGAGUGUGGCAGAGGGGGGUGGAAUUUCCACGUGUAGCAGUGAAAUGCGUAGAGAUGUGGAGGAACACCGAUGGCGAAGGCAGCCCCCUGGGUCAACACUGACGCUCAUGCACGAAAGCGUGGGGAGCAAAC